rnacentral:rRNA from 1 species
AUUGAACGCUGGCGGCAGGCCUAACACAUGCAAGUCGAACGGUAACAGGAAGAAGCUUGCUUCUUUGCUGACGAGUGGCGGACGGGUGUGUAAUGUCUGGGAAACUGCUUGAUGGAGGGGGAUAACUACUGGAAACGGUACCUAAUACCGCAUAACGUCGCAAGACCAAAAAGGAGGACUUUCGGGCCUCUUGCCAUCGGCUGUGCCCAGAUGGGAUUAGCUAGUAGGUGGGGUAACGGCUAACCUAGGCGACGAUCCCUAGCUGAUCUGAGAGGAUGACCAGCCACACUGGAACUGAGACACGGUCCAGACUCCUACGGGAGGCAGCAGUAGGGAAUAUUGCACAAUGGGCGCAAGCCUGAUGCAGCCAUGCCGCGUGUAUGAAGAAGGCCUUCGGGUUGUAAAGUACUUUCAGCGGGGAGGAAGUGAGUAAUGUGAAUACCUUCGCUCAUUGACGUUACCCGCAGAAGAAGCACCGGCUAACUCCGUG